ensembl:antisense AI115009 uncharacterized LOC110320442
AAAAACGCUUCGGAUUUAGGGUGUUUUAAGAUGGUAUGUGGUAUAAUUGGAAGCAGGACUUCUCUCUGGGAAGCAGGUACCUUUAGCUCAUUCCUCAAGCCUCCUUCCUCACAUUCCUUGAGAGUUACUGCAAUCCCUGUCCCUGGUGCGGAUGCUGCUGCUAUGCCCAGCUGAGGCCAGCAACAGGAGUCACGCCUGUCUGGCCGCUCCCAGUCGAACCUAGUCUGUGUAGGUGGGCGCGAGGGCUGGCGCUGGAGGCUGGGAGGAGAGCCUGGAGAACCUUUCAAGCAACCAGCAAAAGCGCUCGGGAGUUCAUUGACUGGCCGCACAGAGCUUCAGAGACCCAGGAGAUAGCGCUGCACUCGAUCGGCUGGACUGUGUGUAUAUAUGCGCGUGUAGGGUUUUUUUUUUCUCCCUCUCCAUCUUCAUCCCUCUUCUCAAGCCGUCCCCCCGGGAGAGUCGCUUCGUCCACGCUUUCCCUCCCCUACAAGGGGGUCCCAACGCUUGGCGCCUGGAAUGUUUAGGACUCUGGAACCUUCUGUUUCCUGUCCUGCCUCCGUGUGGGCAACACUGGUCUCACCUGGCUUGACCCUCAGCCCCAGAGAGUGCUGCCAGGCCACGGUCUGCUGUCCACUCUGGGUGCCCAUCUCGGAGGGAUACUCUGGGGGCAGUCUAAAUCCAGAACCCAGCUUGAAGAGGGAAACUUGAUCCCAAGAAACGGGUUUCGAAGCUUGCAUUUUGAAAAGGACCCUAGCGACCCGCGCGCAAAAGGCGGCUUGUCUAGGGCGAGGGGAACGGCGAGCUUCUGCGAGCGCCUUCAUUAGGUACCCUACACCGGAAGGUGCAGCCGGGCGCUGGCCCUCGGGACAGUCGCUGGGGACCCUUUGGCCGCCCCAGCCUCUUACCUCGAAAAGCUGAGGAAUGUCCCUCCGGGCCAGCCACGUUUCCUCUGUUAAUUGUCAUUCUGCAGUAUAAUUAAUUAAUUUCCAUGUUGCUUCUAAUUGGGUGAAAUUACAAGACUAAUGGACCACAUCUCUCCAAGCAGUGAGCAUGCUUAAGGAGAGCUCUUCCCAGUCCUUGAGCCACAGAGGACGGAGGAACAGAAGCUCAAGGUCAUCUUUGGUUUCUCAGGGAGUCUGGUUACCUGAGACCCUGCCUGAAAAACUCAAACCAAACCAAGAAAAAGUAAGAUGGGUCAGUGACACGGGAGCCCAGGCAGCACCGAGGUGAGAGGAUUCACAUCCAAAGAACACAGCGUAACUCUGAGCAGGCGUCUGGACCGGGGCACACCCAGUCUCACGAGGUACCACCAGGGGUGACUAGCAAGUGUGAGACUUGAGUACUUGCUUCAUCACAGGGGUCCCUGUUGCACCCCAUUAUGAGACAGUAGAUUGGAAACCAGGGUAUGGAAAUGACCACAGAAAGUGACAUUCUGCCGUGGUGUUUGUGACGGGAAGAAGAGUUACUCCCAAGAGUGAUGGAGCCUGUUAGGCAACUUGGGCAAGAAACAUUUGUCGCUCUCCCAAGAUGAAACUGAGUUAUAGGAAAUGCCUGACCUUGGCAGUUACAGAGAACUCCAGCGCAUGAGCUUCCCUCACAGCAGAACCCAAACUCCACAGGGAGCAGCCAAGGAAGGGACAGAGGAGGCAGGGGGCAGCUGGGAACAUCAGCUCUCCUUGUUGCCUCCCAAGGCAUACAUGAAGAGCAAGAAGGGCUUUCUGAGAUGCUGUGUGUUUAUGUAAGACAGAGCUUAUCAAAUACUUUCCAUCUGUCCAGGAAAUUUUUACACAAGUCUAGGUGUAAGUGUAUAAAAUAGGUUUACAAAUCAAACUGAUAACUUACUGAUAAUAUAAAGAAAUGCAUUUUAUAACU